rnacentral:rRNA from 1 species
UACGUAAGGUGCGAGCGUUGUCCGGAAUUAUUGGGCGUAAAGAGCUCGUAGGCGGUGUGUCACGUCGGCCGUGAAAACCUGCAGCUUAACUGUGGGCGUGCGGUCGAUACGGGCAUCACUGGAGUUCGGCAGGGGAGACUGGAAUUCCUGGUGUAGCGGUGAAAUGCGCAGAUAUCAGGAGGAACACCGGUGGCGAAGGCGGGUCUCUGGGCCGAUACUGACGCUGAGGAGCGAAAGCGUGGGGAGCAAACAGG